rfam:Solitalea canadensis DSM 3403, complete genome.
UCAGGUGCCUAUAUCGGCGGUGUCCACCUCUUCCCAUUCCGAACAGAGAAGUUAAGCCCGCCAGAGCCGAUGGUACUGCCGUAACAGGUGGGAGAGUAGGUCGGUGCCGAUU